UGAGUAACGCGUAUGCAACCUACCUAUCGAGAGGGGAACUAACCCGGCGGAAAGUCGGACUAAUACCGCAUAAAACAGGGGCACCGCAUGGUGAUAUUUGUUAAAGAAAUUCGCUGAUAGAUGGGCAUGCGUUCCAUUAGGUAGUUGGUGAGGUAACGGCUCACCAAGCCGACGAUGGAUAGGGGAACUGAGAGGUUGGUCCCCCACACUGGUACUGAGACACGGACCAGACUCCUACGGGAGGCAGCAGUGAGGAAUAUUGGUCAAUGGGCGGGAGCCUGAACCAGCCAAGUCGCGUGAAAAGGAAGAAGGAUCUAUGGUUCGUAAAACUUCUUUUGCAGGGGAAUAAAGUGCAGGACGUGUCCUGUUUUGUAUGUACCCUGAGUAAUAAGGAUCGGCUAACUCCGUGCCAGCCGCAGC
rnacentral:rRNA from 1 species